rnacentral:rRNA from 1 species
UACGUAGGGGGCUAGCGUUGUCCGGAAUCAUUGGGCGUAAAGAGCGCGUAGGCGGCCAGAUAAGUCCGGUGUGAAAGUCAGAGGCUCAACCUUUGAAUGCCGCUGGAAACUGUCUGGCUAGAGUCCGGAAGGGGCGAGUGGAAUUCCUGGUGUAGCGGUGAAAUGCGCAGAUAUCAGGAGGAACACCAAUGGCGAAGGCAGCUCGCUGGAACGGUACUGACGCUGAGGCGCGAAAGCGUGGGGAGCGAACGGG